rnacentral:misc_RNA from 1 species
GGAAGGAUCAUUACCACACCUCUUUGAAAAAAGAAAGAAGGGUCUCUAUCGCUUGCGAUGAGAUCUGACUUUGACCCGCGAACCUUAAAAAACUUUAGGGGAGGUGCUUCGGCAUCUCUUUCUUUAAAUCCACGAAAGUGUGAUUUGUAGUUGUUAUUAAAAAUCUGAAAGACUCGUCUCCGGACAGUCAGAAGAAUGUAAAAACACUUUCAGCAAUGGAUGUCUUGGUUCCCACAACGAUGAAGAACGCCGCGAAAUGCGAUACGUAAUGCGAAUCGCAGAAUCCAGUGAGUCAUCAAAACUUUGAACGCAACUUGCACUUCCUUUGGGAGUAUGUCUGUUGGAGUGUCUGUUCAUCCUACCAAAGCAAUGCUUUGAGGACUGCCUGAGCGAGAGCUCUGAGCAUAGAUGAUAAUAAGAUGAGUUGUCCGUUUCUACGCAAGUCGAACGUUCACUUCACAGUAUCAAUUGAUAAAUGUGAGAGAACAUUAGAUGUAGAAUGAGUCAAUUUUGUUCGGACCUCCAAUCAGUCAAGAUUACCCGCUGAAUUUAAGCAUAUAACUAGGCGGAGGAAAAGAAACUAACAAGGAUUCCCUCAGUAACGGCGAGUGAAGCGGGAAGAGCUCAGACUGAAAAUCUUCGGAAUUGUAGUCUGGAGAAGUUAGAUCAGCUCGGUUGAUGCAUGAAGUCUCUUGGAACAGAGCGCCAUUGAGGGUGAAAGCCCCGUAAACGUAUUAAACUGGGCGUACGAUCAACUUUCAACGAGUCGAGUUGUUUGGGAUUGCAGCUCUAAGUGGGUGGUAAAUUCCAUCUAAAGCUAAAUAUUGGUGGGAGACCGAUAGCGAACAAGUACCGUGAGGGAAAGAUGAAAAGAACUUUGAAAAGAGAGUUAAAGAGUACCUGAAAUUGCUGAAAUGGAACCGAUGAGAAGCAGUGUACUCAUGUCCAUUAAUGGAUGUGGGAGAGUUCGGCUUUCUUGCGUUUGGGAGAAAAACAUAUGAAUUUGUAUGAGUCAUGCUGUUAUCCUGAGUUCGAGAGACUUGAACGAAAUGCUUCUUAUCAUCCCGUCUUGAAACACGGACCAAGGAGUCUAACAUGUGUGCGAGUGUUUGGGAAAUACUCCCUAGCGCGUAAUUAACGUAAAUGCGGAUUUAUUCGCUGAGGUAGGAAAUUUGCACUAUCGACCGACCAUGAUUCUACGGAAGAAAGGUUUGAGUGUGAGCAUACAUGUUGGGACCCGAAAGAUGGUGAACUAUGCUUGAGUAGGACGAAGCCAGGGGAAACUCUGGUGGAGGUCCGUAGCGAUUCUAACGUGCAAAUUGAUCGUCGAACUUGGGUAUAGGGGCGAAAGACUAAUCGAACCAUCUAGUAGCUGGUUCCUCC